rnacentral:rRNA from 1 species
UGCUCAAGCGUAACCACAAACGUCCCCUUCGUUCGCCAGAGAACUACAGGCACAAGCCCGAAACUCAAAAGACUUGACGGUGCCCCACACAACCUAGAGGAGCCUGUCCACUAAUCGACACCCCACGCUAAACCUCACCCCCUCUUGCCCAUCAACCUAUAUACCGCCGUCGUCAGCCCACCCCGCAAGAGAAUAAAAGCAGGCGAAACCGCCCCACCCCUAACACGUCAGGUCAAGGUGUAGUUCACGAGGGGGCCAACUGAUGGGCUACACUUUCCACCAACGAAACCCGCAAGCGUCAUGAAACAUUGCCCCCUAAGUCGGAUUUAGCAGUAAACCAGAUAAGACUUCUCACCUUGAACCAGCCCUGAGGCACGUACA